rnacentral:rRNA from 1 species
GAUGAACGCUGGCGGCGUGCUUAACACAUGCAAGUCGAAAGAUGAACCGGGUGCUUGCACUCGGGGAUUAGUGGCGAACGGGUGAGUAACACGUUAGCAACCUGCCCCUGACUCUGGGAUAAGCGCUGGAAACGGCGUCUAAUACUGGAUAUGUCCAGUCACAGCAAUGUGUGCGGGUGGCAAGAUCUUUCGGUUGGGGAUGUGCACGCGGCCUAUCAGCUUGUUGGUGAAGUAAUGGCUCACCAAAGCGUCGACGGCUAGCCGGCCUGAGAGGGUGACCGGCCACACUGGGACUGAGACACGGCCCAGACUCCUACGGUAGGCAGCAGUGGGGAAUAUUGCACAAUGGGCGGAAGCCUGAUGCAGCAACGCCGCGUGAAGGAUGACGGCCUUCGUGUUGUAAUCCUCUUUUAGCCGGGAAGAAUCGAGAGUGACGGUACCUGCAGAAAAAUCACCGGCUAACUACGUGCCAGCCGCCGCGGUAA